AUGAACGCUGGCGGCGUGCCUCAUACAUGCAAGUCGCGCGCACAGACGAGGAGCUUGCUCCUUUGACGUUAGCGGCGGACGGGUGAGUAACACGUGGAUAACCUACCUAUAAGACUGGGAUAACUUCGGGAAACCGGAGCUAAUACCGGAUAACAUGUUGAACCGCAUGGUUCAACAGUGAAAGACGGUUUUGCUGUCACUUAUAGAUGGAUCCGCGCCGCAUUAGCUAGUUGGUAAGGUAACGGCUUACCAAGGCAACGAUGCGUAGCCGACCUGAGAGGGUGAUCGGCCACACUGGAACUGAGACACGGUCCAGACUCCUACGGGAGGCAGCAGUAGGGAAUCUUCCGCAAUGGGCGAAAGCCUGACGGAGCAACGCCGCGUGAGUGAAGAAGGUCUUCGGAUCGUAAAACUCUGUUAUUAGGGAAGAACAAAUGUGUAAGUAACUAUGCACGUCUUGACGGUACCUAAUCAGAAAGCCACGGCUAACUACGUG
rnacentral:rRNA from 1 species